rnacentral:rRNA from 1 species
AGAGUUUGAUCCUGGCUCAGAACGAACGCUGGCGGCGUGCCUAACACAUGCAAGUCGAACGUGAAAGUCCUUCGGGAUGAGUAAAGUGGCGCACGGGUGAGUAAUGCGUAGAUAAUCUGCCUGGUGAUCUGGGAUAACAUCUCGAAAGGGGUGCUAAUACCGGAUAAGCCCACGGAGUCUUCGGACUUUGCGGGAAAAGGGGGGGACCUUCGGGCCUUCUGUCACCAGAUGAGUCUACGUACCAUUAGCUAGUUGGUGGGGUAAGAGCCCACCAAGGCUACGAUGGUUAGCUGGUCUGAGAGGAUGAUCAGCCACACUGGAACUGAGACACGGUCCAGACUCCUACGGGAGGCAGCAGUGGGGAAUUUUGCGCAAUGGGGGAAACCCUGACGCAGCAACGCCGCGUGAGUGAUGAAGGCCUUCGGGUC